UACGAGGGGGGCAAGCGUUGUCCGGAAUUACUGGGCGUAAAGGGCUCGUAGGCGGCCAACUAAGUCCGACGUGAAAUCCCCAGGCUUAACCUGGGAACUGCGUCGGAUACUGGAUGGCUUGAAUCCGGGAGAGGGAUGCGGAAUUCCAGGUGUAGCGGUGAAAUGCGUAGAUAUCUGGAGGAACACCGGUGGCGAAGGCGGCAUCCUGGACCGGCAUUGACGCUGAUGAGCGAAAGCCAGGGGAGCAAACGGG
rnacentral:rRNA from 1 species